UCUUUUCUUUUUCCUUUUUUUAAUUCUAUUCUUUGUGCUCUUUCUUUUUUAAUCCAGCACAAUUGGUUGCUAUCAUCCACUAGUAGCGGUUUUUAUCUACCGCAUGCAUAGGCCAAAGUACUAACACAAAAGUGUUAGUUUUUGCAGCACGGUUUUUAAGGUCUAAUUAACCAACAGUGCAAACUAGCCUUGCACUAGCGUUUCAUUAGCAUCUAGAUGUGGAUUUUUCGUCCGCAGUCUGGUGGAUGCCGUAUCUGCAACCGGAUUUUCCCCAUAAAAAAGUGUGCAGGGUAGUACUAGUCCGAUGAGUUCAGGCUUUUUCACCUCGAAUUUCGGCGCCUCGCUACUCGAACAGGAAUAUCAGGUUCUAUUUUUUCAGUUACCUGCACAGCAUAUGUUAAAUACGUACUGAAUAUUGUUCCGUUGGUUUGCAUGAUUUUUUCUGUGUAAACCUUUAGCGACCGAUCUAAAAUUCGGUCCGUCGACGCGGCGGCCCCAUCCGAACAUAAAGUCACAUGAGGACUUCGGUAUCACCGAAAGAGCUAUACCUCAGCGGGUGUUCGGCGCACGGGCCAUAUUUCUAUUAUUAUUAGCUUUGCUUAAAAUAUUAAUUAUGCAACGAAUUUUUUACUUUAUUAUUAUUACCUCUGCCUUGCACUAUCGUAUGUGUGCAGAUAAUUAAUUUUUUGUUGCAUCACGCAGUCACCUCGGCGUACAGAGUCGUCCUCUCGCCUCCAUCAACCAAAUUUCCACCUUCACCAUGGUGUGAUACCCUGUGUCGCCAUCAUCGCGUCGUCGCUUCAUCAAACUAACGUUCACCAUGCCGACCUGUUUUGACACGUCGACUGGCGUGGGGGCUUCAUUAUCACGCUGCUGAACUACUCUGUCUCAUCGGCUGGACCGGGGGCUUCGCCUCGGCACUUCGGCACUGUUAUGCUAUCACUUCAUCAAGCCGAGCUUUUCGCUUGGGUACGUCACGACCGGCUUGGGAAUUGGGAACUUGAGCUGCUACAAGCUCGGCCCACGUCACGCCGAGCAAAUUAACCAGCUAAGUCGCUUUCAUGCUCAAAAAUAUUUGGUUUUAUAUUUUGUUCGGUUUGACCAAGUGUUAUACUUUUUUGACAAAAAGUCGUUUGCGGAAAACUUUCUUUGUCAAAACCUCGUUUGUUACAAACAAAUUCAAAUACCCCAUUUAGUUGGGGGCUUCCUUUAUGAAGCCUUUCCUCUUGCAUAUGAUUAUACUUGUAUGGCUUCGUUCCUUGUUCGUGUAUUACGCCACAAUAUGCAUCAUGUUGACUUAAGUGUUCCACAAGUUGGGUUGCGUUGCUCCUUUGUUUACCCCUACUUUCUCGAUUGUUCGGCUAGGGAGUAAAGGGAGCACCUCUGCGAUUCUCACGAUCGGGUCAUGCGAGCUCAGACCUCAGACUGGGUGAAGCCGAAAGCUAGCGCUCUUAUUGUUUUCAAUCAUGGUCGGCACACAACGGAACUCAUGAGUACAAAAAAUCUAUUGCACAAGUCUUAUAGUAACAAUGAGCGACCGAAGAAAGGUAUCGGUGGGGGUACUAUUUUCUUCGAAGAUGCUUCUUACACUUCGUCAGUAAUAUAGCAUAAGUUCCCUGAGCACGCUUUGCCUGUUACAGCCUUAUGGUCUGACUGCCUGGUUAUCAGAAACACCGUCGAUAUUCUCGACAGGUGGAGUACAUAACACUUUUCGGCCCUUGACCGAAGAGGGAGAAGCCGACGGUCGGUUAAGACGCGUUUAAAGUUCGGGUGAACAUAGAUAUGAUAUAAUUACUUCGGUACAUACAAUCAUUAUACAUAAAAUUCUUUUACCCAAGUAACUUGGGGGCUCUUAAAUUAGUAUGAGCCAUUUUUGUUAGUCGUUGUACAGUCUUUUGCUACCACUCCUUUCUCGACUCAGGUGUAUGAUCAAUAGCCAGGUAGCCUGGUUUCUCUGUAAAGCCGCUCGCGUUUAGUUCACUAAACUGGCCUGAGAAACACUCCGCCUUCGGGAUAGGGAGGUUGAAGCCGAAGGCUGACCCACUUGAAGUCUAGAGAUCAGAUGUGUCAGGUCAAAGCACGGUGAAAUUAUAAUUUUAAGACCAAUUUCAUAUUGGCACCAAAAUAGCUUGAUUCAAUCUAGACGUAAAGUUUUUUACGCAUGUUUGUUGGCAUUUUUUUGAGCUUAUAACAUCUUUCACCUAUUUUCUGUUUCAGGAAGCGGGACAUUCUCUUGGUUGAGGUGUUCGGCGUGAAACUCUUUUCUAAAACUACAGUUCGGCAUCUUUCCUGCUGAACUCCACCUCGGUAUUGUCAAAACAUACAUGACAGUUGAACUUGUUCCCGAGGAGGUACGAUCCUAGGGUCGGCCAUCUUGCCCAACCCAAUUCUCAGGGGCUACUGCAUUGACAAUCCAAUGCAGAAAAUUGAAGUGCAAUAUAGUUUUCGAGGAGAUUAUGAUCCUCAGGUUGGUCAGCCACACCCAACCUGAGUCUCGAGGACUUUGCACACCGCUUUUUGUGUCCCGAAGUAUUCUGCCGAGCUAGGAGUUGAUCCUCGGGCCCAUUUUGCGAAUCAACCUGAGUCUCAGGGGCUACUGGGAUCAGCGGUCUUAUGUCAUCCUUCAGGUGCAUCUCCGGUUUUAGACCGAUACACACAUUGAGGGCUACUGGCUAUAUAUCUCAGCAGAGAAUAAAUUGCACCAAUCAAAAUAUUGAUAAAAAAUCGGCCCGCAGUCAUGGUGGUGCAUCACCUCGGAAGCAGUCCGGCAAAGCUCGGGCGCCAGUGGCUGGCUCCAUAGAGGGCAUUUCCAGCAUUAAGCUCGGCUAAACUCCUUCAACUUUUUUGAACCAAGGUGAUCUAUGACACCUCAGAUAUAGUCCGGCGUUGGAGCUUGGACACAGUCCGGCGUUGGAGCUCGGAUACUGUCCCGCGCUGGAGCUCGGAUGCAGUUCGGCGUUGGAGCUCAGCUGUAACAAUACUCUUCGGAUACAGUCCGGCGUUGGAGCUCGAAUACAUUCCGGUGUUGGAGCUCGGAAGCGGUCCGGCGUUGGUGCUCGGCUGCAAAAGAUACCUCGAAUGCAGUCCGGCGUUGGAGCUCGGACGCAAGAGGACGCUGCCGCCCAGGAACAACUUCAAACCCGAGGUGUGGCAUAAAAAUAACAAGGCAUUGAUAAAGGUCGGAAACAUAAAAGGGCUCCUCGAAUACCCGACGUGUAAACUCUUCGGAUGCACUUCGGUGAUCCUCAAGAUCGAAGAUGAGAAGAUUUGUUGAACCAGUUUUCAAGACCCACGACCGAAGAUGAAGAACAUUUCGGAAGAAUUGAGGAGCGUCCCCAACUUGAAGACCGGUUUACGGGGCUACUGACGGUGUCCUGGACUAGGGGGUACUCACCACGUCGUCUCCCGACCAGCUGGAUCGGGCCGAGGACCCCCAUGGCGGUUCACUCAUGGGCCACUUCGGGCAGCCCAUGCCGAAUACAAAGAGGAUUCCACAAGACUUGGCGCACAAGACAAGGACCCCUCUAAACCCUAGGCCUACGGUGCAUAUAUAAACCGAGGCCAGGCUAGUCAAUGGACAAUCUCAUAUUCACUACUACAAUCUCGUGGUAGAUACAUGUACUCUGUACUACACCCAUAUGAAUACAAUCAAAAGCAGCAUGUAGGGUAUUAUAUCUUCGAGAGAGCCCGAAGCUGGGUAAAAUCCCGUGUCCAUGUUACCAUCGCUCCAAGACGCCUAGCUUAGGACCCCGACUACGAGAUACGCCGGAUAUAGAACCGACAGUAGCCUCUGCAAGUGGGGUGGCAGCAUUGGAGGACUUCUUUGUUGGUGGUAUUCCUUUGAGUGCCGAGUCAUGAUUUUCAGGGUGAAAACUCAAGGUCUGGCUUUUUUGGUUGUGCCUGGCAGUGACCUUAUUGAAGGCAUUGUUGGGAACACGGUCUUUCUUCAGGGUGAAAACCUACGAUCUUUGAUUGGGCAACGACAACGCUUAUGCAUUGUUUCCUUUCUGGAGGCGUUGCUUUUGGAGAACCUUCUUUCUAGUCCGGGUGCUGUCUUUGUUGGUGGUUAGAGUGCUGCUACUACGGGUAAUUGAUCACCAUGGCAGGGUCGUUUCUUUUCUCUUUUUCCACUUUUUUUCCUUUUUAGAUGUGUGCAUCCUAGAUGUGUUUAGGCAUCUUGUUGGUGUAGAGGCUGGGUGUAAUUGGUAUCUUCUUGAUAUUAAUAUAUUCCCUUUAUAAAAAAACAAUUCCAUUAGUUCAAAUUAAGCAAAGAUCAACACUUUCCAAAUCAGCUGGUUCUUCCAUCUUCAAAUCUAGUGUUGAAGAAAUGGAGAAAGAAAAUGUCUGUUUACUUGUGCAAAAAUAGCACAUGGUAGUACACGGAUCAGAUGGAAAAUCAAGAUGGAGAAAACUUCCACUAGACAUCAAAUGAGCUCCAAAAAGAAAAGAAUCUCAGUGCUUCGGUACAUACUGGUGAGCAACUCUGCAUCAACCACAGGCAUGAGAAUGUCCAUAGCUAAUGCAAAAUGCUAACUCAAGAUAACCUGAGCAUUGGGUCACUCAUGCCACCGCAUUAGAAUGUCCUCUGUGAAAUAGUGUAGUACUGCACUGAAGAAAGCUAGUGUCGUUUGAGAUAUGUGAGAAGCAGCACAAAAAAAAGAUGACCAGGUUCAGGUUUGCUCAGAUUCACCUGAUGAUUCAGAUGGAGAUGUGUGACGACCCAAGUUGUCACAGAGCGUUUCAUCAUCACAUGGCCAUUCUAAAGUGGGGUGAGAGAGGCUCGACCUCAGGAUCACUCGCAUUAUUAGCUAUGAGACCUACGCGCUAGCCAACUCCCCCACCACCCCCUUGUUGGAUUAGUGGAGAAAUAAUGUCUCUUUAUAACAAUUCCUUUGGUUCAAAUUAAGCAAAGAUCGGCACUUUCCAAAUCAGCUGGUUCUUCCAUCGUCAAAUCUAGAGUUGAAGAAAUGGAGAAAGGAACUACAUACAUUAAGUUGCAUCAGAAUGUCCACAACUCAUACACAACUGAGGAUAACCUGAGCAUUGAGUCACUCAUGCCACCGCAUCGAGAUCACAACAGAUCCUUCCUAGCACCAAGCGGAAAUAAUCCAAGUCGCAACUUAAUAUCUUGAUAACCAAUUUGGUACAGCACUGAGUGACUGCGGCUCGUCAUUGCGCUGAUACAGAUCGAACUAACUGUGCGCUUACUUACGCAGCAACUAUGUCCGGCCAAAUCUUCCAUAAGCAAGAACAGAAAUGGGCACUUGUAAACUAGUAGGUAGGCACCACAACUACGGGUUUCCAUACAGAACCAAUGCUGUCCUUACAAAAUGUAGUAGUAGAACGGAGAUCCCAGCGGAGCAACCCAAGAUCGCUCACUUGAAACAGCUCGUGCAUCUGGGUCUUGAACUGAUCAAUGGCGUUGCCAGUGGUGCCCGUGAUGAUCAAGUCAUCCACGUACACUCCCACCAGCAAGAAGUCGACGUCGUCUCCUCGCCAAAACCUUGCUUAAACUAAAGGAACUCAGAUGGACACAAACUAAACCUUGUUUAAACUGGUACUUGACUUCCCACACUAACACCAACCUAUGCAAGUUUAGAUUAUUUCUGGAAAAAAAAUAACUUAGUACAAAGAUACACCAUAUAUUUACCAUUUACAAAAUUUCAAAUUCAAAUUCAACCUACAACUCAAGAAACGAAAAGACAGAACUCUAUUUUUGGCACCUCAACAACUAAUCAACAAGUGAGAAUUUCAUCCCUUAAAUCAUGUUAUGAAUGGAGUGUCGGUUGAGCCAACUAACACUAACAUAGCUGAAUUUGUUGGUUUUUGUUUCUUGUGUUUCAAAUUUUGAUUUGAAAGUUUGUAACAUGACAAGAUUGAUUGCAGCACAUACGGUUCACCGGUUGCACCACAUUCGUCCGUGUUUGAAGGGAUAAGAUCAAUGGUUGUAACAGCCAUUGUAUUGUAGUAGUACAUUGCUUGAGCGACAACUUAUGUACAUUUUACUUACUCCUCUCUAUAUGUAUGUAUACACUGCAAAAGAUAAGAAACUUCCCAAAAAAAGAGAUAAGAAACUAAGAGUGGAAUUUGUCUGACCAUGGAAGGAAUGCUGAUCCUGGGGAAGUUAGUUGUAACAGCCAUCCUUGAUAUAGCAGGGAGCAGAGCAUCUCAGUUUGAAAAGAAGAUUCUUUGAGAAUGAAGCUCAUCUCUAGAGAAAGAAGCUUCUUGGAGAAUCAAUCAAUGGCAUGUGUAGCAGCAGAAGCUCCACUGCACCUGCACUCUGUCCAUAUAAAGAGGGGCAUAGUGCAGCCCAACGAUCCUCACAGUCACAGGCAAGAGAGAGGAAGAACCACAAGUCCAUAAGCAAUGGAGGGGAGAAACAAGGAGAGGGUGAUGGCCGGCGCCGUCUUUGUGCUCUUCAUCCUGCUGUCGGCCCAGCGGCUUCCGGUCGGAGUUGCCGACCCCGCCACGUCGGCGUUCUGCCAGUGCUACCUGGGCUGCUUUCAGUUUGACCCAGAGUGCAGCGGCGAAGGGUGGCAAAGGUGCCAUGAUUACUGCUGCGCCAUAGCGUGCCGCUUCCCUGGGGACGCCGACUUCGACAGGGUGUGCGAGGGGACGGGCGGGCAGCAGGCUUGCGGCACGGAGGCCACCCUGGACACCGACCAUAUUGGUUAACUAAUUGGUCUCCCGACCGUGAAUUCAUGGUUUCUCUUGUCUGCAUUUUAGUGGUACUACUCCUACUACUGCUGCUGAUGAUGCUGCGGCCAAUUACUGGAGCGGCCGCCAUGGCAAGGCCAAGGCCAAGCACGGCUAGACUCACUGUGGAGGCUGCACGGAAGCCGUCCUGUGAUGAUGCAUGAUAUGAGUCUUGAUGUGUUGUGAUGUCUGAUCAUAGAUUAUAAAUGACAGCCAGUUUAUGUACAUCUUAUUUUGCUACAGUAUAUAAUAAAGUCUCAUGCGAUUUAGUGAUAAUAUGGUUAUCACUAAAUAUAUUUGAUGUGCAUCGUAACAUAUAAUAUAUUUGACAUGAACGUAGCCUGUUUCGAGAAACUAGAGAGCAAAGAAUGAGAGAUGACGAUGUUAAAUACUAAAAAGACUUUGGAUGGUUUCACUCGGAUCGGUGAAAUUCACUCAUGUUGUUUCGCCAAAUGAAUCAGGGGCGUAUCAGUCCCUCAAAACAACUUCGCAGUUCAAUUUUCACACACUCGGUUCUUUAACUUGAUCCGCCAAAGCAUAGGUCUCUCAAAAAAUCAUGAAUAAAGCUUCCCAAACUAAACAUUUUUCUAGUGCACUCGGUAUGAAAGAAUUUGGUUGAUUUUCACUCAAUUUAGUGAAACUUACUCUUUUUUUUUCCUUUUCAAAACGAAACAGGCACGUGUUAGCCUCGAAGGCAUCGCAUCUCUCAAGAGAACUUGGCAGUUUUAUUUUUCAAACUCUGUUCUUUAAUUUCAAAAAAUCUGCCAAAGAAUCAAUCAAUAGUAUCUGGUGAACCAGCAUGUAGUAACUACUGUAACCGUUGCAAAAUAACAUGUCCGUAUAUAGGCUUAUGCAACAGAAAUGGUACUAGUUGCUAUUCCUCUCUAUGUGUAUGUACACAUUGCAAAGGGUAAGAAGCUUCGAAUGCAAUUUAUUAAUUUACAACAUUUCUAAUCCUCAUCGUGAUCAGAAAUGUUGUAACGGCAAUUUAUUAAUUUAUUAAGGUUUUUUCCCAGUUAGGAGAAGCUUCUUCCAGAAGCAAUGGCGUACUAACAGCACAUCCCCAGUGUGCUCCAUAUACAGAGGGGCAUCUUGCACCCCAACAACUGUUACAGUGCACCCAACUUGAAAACACACGGCAAAAGUUACUAAAAAGACUUAAAAUAACUUAACACAAAGACACACCAUAUAUUUACAGUUAACAAAAUUUCAAAUUCGAAUUUAGCCUACACCUUAAGAAACGACGGUAAUAAAUCGUGUUAUGUAUGAAUAGUAGUUACAAUAAACUGGACCAUCAGUUGAGCCAACUAAUGUAAGACUACCGUAGCUGAAUUUGAUUAUUAAUUUUCUCGUGGUUCAAAUUCGGAUUUGAAAGUUUGUAACAUGAGAUAUGCAAGUUCUAUGCGUUAAAUUGUUUUCAGCUUUUUUUUGACAAAUUUUAACGUGUGGUUUUCAUGUACCAGUGGUGCACCGGUUGCAGCACAAACUUGGGUGCACCGGGCACGUCCUUGCUCAGAGGGAUAAGAUCGAUGCGCGUAUGUAGUAGUACAUUGCUUGAGCGGCAACAACUUGUGUACAUAUUAGUACUUACUCAUCUCCAUACGUAUACAUUGCAAGAUAAGAAACUAAGAGUGGAAUUCGUGCGUUGAUUCAUAGAACAGGGAAACAACCCUCCUAGGGGAAGUUAGUUGUAACAACCAUCCUUGAUACGGCAGCAGCGGAGCAGAGCAUCCCAGUUUCAAGACAAGAUUCUUUGAGAAUGAAGCUCUGCUCAUCUCUGGAGAAAGAUGCUUCUUCAGGAUCAAUCAAUGGCAUGUGCAGCAGCACAAGCUCGUCGACAGAAACCCUUCUCCACUGCACCUGCACUCCUACCCUAUAAAGAGGGGAAUGGUGCAGCCAGCCCAAUGAUCCUCACAGGCAAGAGAGAGGAAGAAGCACAAGUCCAGAAGCAAUGGAGGGGAAGAAGAAGGAGAGAGUGAUGGCCGCCACCAUCUGCGUGCUCGCCAUCCUGCUGUCAGCCCAGCGUCUGCCCGGUCGGGGUUGCCGACCCCGCCAAGUCGGCGUUCUGCCAGUGCUAUGUGUGCUGCUACCAGGGCUGCAAGGUCAACGACUGCAGUGAUUGCUGCGCCGGCUGCUACUUCCCUGGCGACCCCGACUUCGAGAACGGGUGCCGGAUGCCCGGCGGGAAGCAGGCCCCGGUCUGCGGCACGGAGGCCACCGGCGGCGGUGAGUACGAUGGACACCGACCGACCAUAUUGGUUAAUUGAUUGCUCUCCCGUUCUCCGUUUGUCUCUGAAUUGAUCGUUUCUCUUGUCUGCAUUUUGCUAGAUACUAUUUGUAUCACUGCUGAAAGUGCUGCGGCCAACUACUGGAGCCGCCGCCACGGCGAGGCCAAGGCCAAGGCCAAGCACGGCUAACGGGGUGCUGCACGGAAGCCGUCCUGUGACUGACGAUGAACGUUCGUCUCUGAAUUAUUGAGUCGUUGAUGUGAUGUCUACUUAUGUUGGUGCAUCUUAUUUUACUACGUAGUAUAUAAUAAAGUCCCGUGCGAUUUAGAGAUAAUAUGUUUGUACUAUAUAUAUAGUAGUAAUAUAUUGAUAUGAGGAGCGUUGCAAGCUGAAACAAAAGAGCAAAAUCAAUGAGAUGGCAAAGUUAAAUAUUUAAAGGACAAGUUUGCAGUUAAAUUGCACAAAUUCGGUUACUUGACUUACCAGAGCAUAAGCAUCCCAAACUAACAACUUUUUCUAGUCUAACAGACUAGCUCUCUGCCAACUGUUUACAUACAAAAAUAAGGUGAUCGAAGAACAGCAACCAUGCAACUCUAACAACGCAGGUGAAUGCAUAUCCAAUAAGAAAAGAAAAAGGAGUGUGCACAUGCGUUUGCAGUUUACACCGGUACAUCUAGUUUUAUGUUAAUAAGUCAGAUCAGGUUCACCGAUGAGGUCUGGGAAUGAAAAGUCGCAGGCUGGGGGGUGUGAUCUAUAGUUCCCAGUGAUUGAGAACAGUAAGCUGGCCUUAACUUCUGAAUACUCUCUGUAACUUCUUUUUAGCCCCCAUAAACCCCCCAUGUAAAUCCUGUUUGCAGUCUUAAUAUAUCGAUGCGGCGUUGCUGCAUUCGCCCCCAAAAACAAUCAGAUCAAGUCACAGGUCUGUUCGAUGGUGAAAUGAUUACUACUUAAUCAGAGCAAGUUGUUGUUGAUCAGCUAAUAUACUGGUCAUUAUUUCACAUGGUGCCACUAAUGCAACCGUUGCAAAAUUGUACUGCUAUGCCUACUAUUGAGGCUUAUGGAUCAGAAAUGGGACCCUGAAAACGAGCAUGAGCACACAAGCCUAUAUCUAUCUACAUAAGUUGCACGCACAUAUACAUUGCUUGAGCAAGAACAAUUUGCGUGCUGCAUACUCCUCUGUAUAUCUAUGUAUGCAUUACAAAAUUAAGAAAGUGAUAAUAGAGUUUGCCAGUCGAUUCAUGAGACAGGGAGGGGUGAUUGGGGGCAUAUUUGUUGAAAUAAUAGGGUGGGCCUAGGGCGUAUCUAACAAUUUCUAAAAAUCUCUAAGGCCCAUGUUGGUUUAUUGGCACUAGGUGUAGUGGGAAGUUUAAUCCCACCCCGGAAGUUUGAGAGGAGUUGGACCUUCUUAUAAGGGUUUCUCUUUCGCAUGUUAUUGGAGCUUGAGAAGAAAAGAGGCCCUCGCGCACUCCUCCUCCGCCGCCCGCCUCGCCACGACAUGACGUGGGCUGCAGGAAUGAGCCGAGCUGAGCUCACACCUAUGCGUACACGGUCGAUGGGAGAGCAGGUCUCCAAAACCCCGCCUCUCCGGAUUCUGUACGGGAGAGGGGCGAAUAGAUUUUUGGGAAGCUAUGCCUAAUAUAGAGGCUUAUGGAUCAUAAAUGGGACCCUGAAAACGAGCAGACAAGCCUAUACCUUUAUAAGAUGCACGCACAUAUACAUUGCUUGAGCAAGAACAAUUUGCGUGCUACAUACUCCUCUGUAUAUGUAUGUAUGUAUUGCAAAAUUAAGAAAGUGAUAAUAGAGCUUGUCAGUCAAUUCAUGGAACAGGGAGGGGCAAAAUUAAGAAAGUGAUAAUAGAGCUUGUCAGUCAAUUCAUGGAACAGGGAGGGGUAGUUGUAACAGCAAAGUGUUUUAGCUCGCUCCAUCCUUGAUCCGGCAAGAGCAUCUGAGCUUCCAUACCUGCAAAAGGAAAAGCUUCUUGGAUAAUCAAGCUCGUCUAUGGAAAAACUUCUCCGAGAAUCAAUGGCGUGUGCGCCAGCACAAGCUUGCUUCACUUAUUAUCACUCCUUCUCCAUUCGUUCACUGCACUCCGUAUAAAGAGGGGCACCGUCGUACGUGCAACCCAACAGAAGUUGUCGCAGGCAAGGAAGAGUCCAUCAUCAAUGGAGGGGAAGAAGAAGGCGACCGUGAAGGCUGCAGCCGUCUGCGUGCUCCUCGCCGUCCUGCUGUCGGCGCAGCAGCUGCCGGCGGCGGACGCGGCGUCGGCGUUCUGCAAAUGCUACGUCAGCUGCUACUCCGACUGCAGGCUCAGGCACCCCCGGCUGUUCUGCAAGCCGCUCUGCGGCGUGGUGUGCGCCCUGGGCGGCCAGAUGGGCGGCGGGUGCCCGGGGGUCUGCGGGGAGGCCUCGGGCUGCGUCGUCGACGGCGAGUCGGACGCUGCUGAUGCUGAUGCGGCGGCGACCUGCGUGGAGGAUUGCCGCAAGCUCCGCAAGGCCAUGAACGGUUAGAGCCACCGGCUUUGGCCUUUGGGGUUGCUGAUGAUGUCUUUUGUGGUGGAAUAAUAAAUAAAUUGAUAUGUGAGUGUUGGAAGUAAAAGGCAAUGGGUAUGGCAAAUCAUAUACGUAUGAGAAUUUGGUUGGUUGUCACUCGGAUCAGUGAAAUUUACUGUGUUCUUUGUGAAAUAUUGUAGUACUACACUGAAGAAAGCUAGUGAUAGUUUGAGAUAUGUGAGAACCAGCAAAAAAAAAUAGAUGACCAGGUUCAGAGUUGCUCUAUUUCACCUGAUGAUUCAGAUGUAGUUGUGACGACCCAAAGUUGUCACAGAGCGUUUCAUCAUCACCAGGUCCAUUUUUAGGUGGGGUGAGAGAGGCUCGAACUCUCGACCUCAGGAUCACUCACGUUAUUAGCUAUGAGACCUACGCGCUAGCCAACUGCGCCACCACCCCUUUGUUGUAUGAUAAGCCAAACAUCGGAUUCUAUCUUGGUUCAGAUAAAGCAAAGCACGGCUAAACAGGCGACCAGGUUUGUUCAUACGCUGCCCAAAUCGUUAAAUCUAGAGUUGAAGAAAUGGAGAAGGAACUGCAGAAAUGCCAGCUUAAAAGGCCAGAGCCCUGCAACUUCUGAAAAUAAAAGAAGUUCAUGUUUACUACUCGCUCCCUAUCAAAAUAUCGGACCUUUUUUGACACCGUCAGUGUCAAAAAAACCUCUUGUAUUUUGAUACAGAGGGAGUACUUGUGUAAAAAUAGCACAUUAUAGUCCACGAAUCAGAUGUAAAAUCUGACAUGGAGAGAACUUCCACUGGGCAUCAGAGUGUCCACAGCUCAUACAAUAUGCUAACUGAAGAUAACCUGAGCGUUGGGUCACUCAUGCCACCGCAUCAAUCACGACAGAUCCUAGCACCAAGCGGAAAUAAUCUAAGUCGCAACUUAAUAUCUUAAUAACCAAUUUGGUACAGCACUGAGCGACUGCGGCUCGUCUUUGCGCUGAUACAGAUAGAACUAACUGUGCGCUUACUGGCGCAGCAGCUAUGUCCGGGCCAAAUCUUCCGUAAACAAGAACAGAAAUUGGCACUAGUAAACUAGUAGUAGGUAGAUCAGGUAGGCACCAUAACUACGGGUUUCCAUACAGAACCAAUGGUGUGAUUACAAAAUAUCAUCAACGUGCGGCUGCAGUAGAACCCUUCACGUCGAACGGAGAUCCCAACGGCGCGAUCAGGCCCAGGCUCUGCAUGAUCUUGAUCUGGCGCGCGCUACGCUGCUCCGAUCCCCCCUUGGCCGCCGCGCCCCUGCUCUGGUGGAGUUUGGUCAAAUCAGUGUGCGAAAUUCAUUCGACAAUCGUAUUCAGAAGAAUGGAGUGUCGACUUACAGGAGAAGAGUUGGGAUCCUUGGUCUCGGGCUUUGUCGCCUUCCCCUUUCUAGGUUUCUUCUUCGCAGCACGGCUUGAGUCAGCCUCCAGCCCACUAGCGGCCCGCUUGGUGCUCAGUCCACCCUCUGUCUCAGUAGUAGCAGCCGCCUUUGCCUCGGUAGCUUCACAGAUUCCAAAGAUCACUUCAUCCACAUACGCCAUUUCAGCAGCAAGCUGCCUGUCUAUGACGUCCCCCAGCAGUAUAUCCCUGACCAUAGCUUUUAUCUUCCGGUGGGUUCCUUCGACCGUCGAACCAGUUUUGUGCUGGCUUCGAUUCACUGAUGCCAUGUCUCCUGCUUCAGCUGCAUUUUCACUUGCGCUUGUAUCAUGGAGUUGUGGUGUGCUGUCCUCCGCCGCAUCUGAAUCCUUCAGAUUGGUACAGCCCGAUCGCUUUGAGGAUCCUUCCUUUUUGGCCACCGAUGUUCCUGAUGAUGCCUUCUUACCACUCUUUUUAUCUCGCACAACAGAAGCUUGCUUUGGUGUCUUAUCUCUCAAACCUUCAGCAGAAUCUAUACUCAAAGCUUUGUCGAGAGCACUUGCUUGCCUCACACCCUUCUGCUUUUUCCCUUUCUGAACAGCACCUCCACCUUUUGCACUGCUCCGAACUUCUUGGUCCUGCUCUAUGCCUUCUUGCUUUCUGACUUUCUUAGUAGACGUCUUGGCUGUGGCCAAUAUGGUCAGACCAUAUGAAAAAUAGAGAAUUAGAUACGUAGCAAUUAAAGAAAAAUAUAUUUGUAUCAUUGAUAGCAAGGCGAUUUAAAACUUGAUCAGCAAAAUAAAACCACACAGGUGAUAAUUUACCAACAAUGACACUGAUACUGCUCCUAGAACAUGUUACCUAAUCACACCAUUGUGAAAAGAAUCACAAACGGUAACAUAUCACUGUUAACAUAAACCACUAAUGAAGAGGGAUAACAUGAAUGAUCAAACCACAAGGACCCCCAUAUCAAUACACAGAACGUGUUUUUCUGCAUAUAUUCUCCAGGCAAAAAACGGAAAUUCACCUUUUGUGUUGACAACUUCCUCCUCAUCAUCACUGGCCGACUUAAAAUGAGAUAGCUCCUGCAUUUGUAAGAUUAAACAUGGAUCUCAACAACCUCUACCAAACUGUGAUUCAUAACAUGUUCAAAGCAAAGGUGAUUGCCCUACCUUCUGAAGCACCUCAUGGAAUGCUUCCAUGGCUGUCUUAUUUUCUUUCUUCAGAAACUGCAUACAAUGAGCUCAUAGGAGAAAUAUUUAAAAUUCAAAAUGGUCAGGGUUGGAUAUCAUUCAUGCGUUAGAAGACAAAACAACUAACUUUCUUGGAAGUUAAAUAACAAAAGCAGUUUAUAGUUUAUACAGCAGAAUCAUUUACCAUAAAAUUACUACAACUCUACAAGCAGCACAUAAGUAGUGACGCUGGGUGAGGAUUCGAUUGAUAUGGCCGGUUUAGGUAGAAAAAACAAAUAGGACAAUUAUUAACUAGAAAAAAUUUCAUUCAAUCAGCUAAGUUAGUUUAUUAGUUAUGCAACAAUGAUAAAAUAAAAUACAUGCUUUACCUGUACAAUCCUAAAACAUAUAUGUGUGAGUCGUGCUAUUGGUACAUUCUGUUAGUUAGAACAAAGCAUAUUAUAAUUAAGAACAAUUGUUAGAAUUUCAUUAUCAACAUAUGCAAUAUUAUAUAAUUUAUCAAGUGUGUGUGAAUAUAUGUCCGUCAAUUCAGCCUUUUGGUUAUAUCAGUUUCCUGGAGUUAAAAACCUAAGGAAACCAAAUUGCAAUAAUGAUUGAAGUUGUUGGUUAUUUUCGUGUUUCAGCUGAUUUAAGCUUCUUUAAUACAGUUCAGUCAGUAACCACAACUCCAUAUUAGCAUCCUCAUAAGCUGUAGGAUAGAAGAUGUGCAUACCAUUUCGAAUUCCAUGUUAGACUUCCAAGGGUCAACAUACAAGCUGAAAAUAAAAUAGUGAAGACAAUUACCUUUAUUGUAAAGAUUAUCAGUUGAUCGCCACUAGAAAGAAAAGAAAGGCUUCACAUGUUAUUAGGACCCUUACUCUAGGCAUGUGCCAUACAGUCGAACCAGAGCAUCAUGGCUGGUCUUCUUCUUGGCCUUGCUACUGGCACAUGCUUCAUCAAUGACCUUGAAUUCAGAAAUAGAAGUGGUCUAAAUAUGUGCAUGGGAAGCUAGGAUGAAGAACAUAACAGUUGGGAAAAGUCUGAAAUGUUUUGUCUUUGCAUCAUACAAGUACAAAGGUUGUGGCAUUGGCACUUGAGACUUGACCACACUAUCUUACUCAUACAUGAUCUAUAUAAUUGAUCUACUACAGAUGCAACCAUCUGCCAGCGUUCAAUUUAAGCUGAUGUACAAUGCAACAAGCAUAUUCACUGCCAUCUAGAAUUAUUUUAGAACCAUACUGGCAUCGAGUGCAGCAACAAAAUGGUUCAACAUGUUGGGGUAAUCUAAAUUGCUUAUCUGCAGCAAAGCAAAGGUAUUUAGCUAGUUGAAGUAUGAAGUGCUCAGAAGGUGUAUGCAUCAUACCUGGGCUGGCCACCAUGAGGAGCCAUCAUGCUUAACCCAUGUUAUAUCUCCUAAACGGAAAUUCUGCCUUGGGUUAAGUUCUGGAGGUUCAGAACUUGAUGUGCAUGCAGCCAUGCCACCAUGACUUUUCUCUGCACUUCUCUUCACCAUAAUGAUCAAUUCAAACCUGCAACAGCAUUAAACAAGAAAUGUUAGUAUUGAUAUUGCCCACUCUGACUGCUUGUUAGCUUGACAGAAAGCUAUUCGACCAAAAGAUCAACUUAAAUUCACUGUUAUAAAAAGCAGUCACAUAAGCCUGACUAAGUGUUAGGCAGCAACAACCGCCUGCCUGGCAGCUAACACCUGAAAUCAUCUGCAAGGAGUAGUGUGGCAGGUGCAAUAACCCACCAAUUACUCAAACAAGGCUACAGCUCAUUCCAUGGUAUGGCUGAACAUUCCAACAUCAGAUACACACCAUCACUUCCAUGUGACAUGUCCAAUUAGGCAAUUAGUGAAUCAGAGCAUCAGACUGGCUCUGGAGAUCUCAAAUGGGAUAUCGCCUUACUCUCAGUCUCUCACCGAAGCUUAAGCAGUUACUCAGUAUCAUUAUAUCCCUAAAAAGCACUUGCUCGGUGAAUUAAAGGGGGGGUGCAGGAACAAAACUCGUCCAAUAAAUCAGGUGCAGACUUCUGCACUCUGAAGUUCGCUGGCAUUUGAGUAUAUGCCCUCGUCCAGCAGUCUCUUGAUAAAAUGCAUUGGAAGUUGAAUGUGCUUCUCAUGAUUUACCUUGAGGGAUGUGUUUUAACGAAAAAUCAACAAGAUGCCGCACAUUUAUUUGCAAUUUGACACAAAUGACGCAUGUACAGGUGGCCCCAGGCCCCGCAUGUCAGACAAAGGCGUGACACUUUGCCAAAUUCCUCGUUCUUCACAUAACAAAAUCGAUUAACCCCUUCACUCGAGAAAAAAAUCAAUUAACCCUUUUUACCCGGCCAAGGAAAAGGCAGCUUUGGCCCUUCUUUCCGUUGCUCCAGCACACAGCAUAGAUAGACAGGAGGCGGAGAGCUUUCGCUCUUUGCACUUGCACGUGCACGGCGCGCCCUGGGAUAAUGGCUUGACCGAUGCCAGCAAAAAUUCGAUUAGUCCACACAUAAUGUGGUCCGUCGCGCCUCUCCCCUCGCAAAUCCCCCCCUCGAAAGCAGCCAUAUCUCGUCUCGCGAACAAAACCUAGGGUUCGUUCGUACGACGCAAAAUCGAGGGCCAAAACCUACGAUCUGGCAAGCGGAUGGGACGAGCGGCGAGAUGGUGCGGGGAUAACCUCGCUGGCAGCCGCCGCCCUGGGUCUCUGCCGGUCGCCGGGCUGGAUGGGGGCGUGCUGUUCCAGCAGCGGAAAGAGGGGGAGCGGGUGGGCGCGGCGAGCAGGGAGGGAGCGGGAGAAGAAUGCACACGGGGUGGGGCGAAGGGAAGCACCUCGCCGCAGGACGCCGCGCGGUCGCCGGCCGGAGUGGCCGCAGUGGUGGAGCAGGCUGCCCCGCUCCUUGGCGACGGCGAGGCUGCGCUGGGUGGAGAGGUCGAGGGUUCGAGUGUGAAUGGAGAGGCGAGCUGAGGGAGCUCGGGUUUGAUUAUUGCCUUGGGGGCAAAUGGGUCUUUUUGGUUUCAUUCACACUCUCGAGCGUGGGGGCGGACAGGCUGGCAUGGCAAGGAGCUGAAUUAUUUCUUCUUGGCGAAUAAUCGGGCUUCACCUGCUGUGCAAUCUAAUCUCAGAGCAUCUACAGCCGGUUCCGUCAAAUCCAGCCCCUUAUACGUCUAUAGACUGUGUCGGACUCGAACAGCCCCUCAUAAAUCAUGUUUGACAGUCACACAUCUCAAAUCCAAACUCUCAAAUUCAUGCAAACCUAUGCAUGUCCAUUAUACACGUGAAUGACGCACCAUUGCAGCUCCACAAACAGUUCUUCAGCGAGCUUGGAGCACUCUGAAUGCCCUCUUCACAUCCUUCAUGGAUGCCUCUUGCAUUGUUGCAAAGUGGCUUUGUUUGUUGCCUUGGGGUUCGGAUAUGGUCUUAAACGCCGCUCAGUGAGGAUAUAUAACAUUGGCAAGAUAGUACCCCAUGUUGUAGUCACUGCGUUGACAGUUAGGUUGCAUGGCGGUGGUUGCCCGUUACAAAGUCUCCUAAACACGAAAGAUCACUGAAGCACAUUAAUGUCGUUGUGAGAAUCAGACAUUCCAAAGAAAGCAUGUCAAAUCCACAAGUCAUGUGAUGUUAUUGCUUCCAAUAUGAUGGCGGUCUCUUUGGUGUGACCUUGUACAUCCCGCUCAAACCUUUAGGGCACUUUUUUCAUUGCCAAUGCAUGCAAUUUGAAUCGAGCAUACCUGGAAACCUUGCCUCUCGAAUAGCUAGCAACAUUUCUGUAUCCGGCACAUUUGGUUCGCUCAUAUACUCUGCUCCAAACACAUGCACCACGGUACGGGCAAACUUGACCGUGGUCUCUAGGCAUGUGCUCUUCCUCGUCCGGACCAUCUUACCAAUGGCAUCAGCGGCGGUACCGAAUGGAAGUAUCCUCAGAGUAGUCGUGCAUUUCUGCUUAGUAGAGAAUGAUAGUUAUCUUCAACAAUCCCUGGUGAGCUUGAAGUAGGGAUCGAGUGCCUCCACUCCCUCCCUUUGAUUGUGCCCUUGAAGUUGAGAAUGUGCUCCACCUCCCAGUCCAUUUCCUGUUGGAUGCUCAUGAUCAUGAUCAUCUCAGCUUUCUCGUCAUUUUGAAUCAUUUCAUCAAGUUGUGCCCCGUCCAUACUCCUCGUCUGAUGAACCGCCCGAAUCCAUCGUUUUGCAUCGGAGUAGGUGAGAUCCGAUUCAAAAUACAACUUUCAACUCUAGUGAUUACCAUAAUUGAACACUUAAAUUCUCCCCUUCGAGGUGGUCGCCGACGCAGAGCCUGGAUAGGAGGAAGAUGGUACAUCCAUAAGGAACGGUGAUGAGGGAAGAAGUGCAUAACGACGACACAUAAGGGAUGAAGAAAAAAUUAGUGCUUACGUUGAUGAUUCUGUUAACAAUGAAAUUUUGAAUAUUCUAAUUAUCAAGGCUAAUCUUGAAGAUGCCAUUUGUUGGACACACGCUCCUAAUUCAGAUUGUAAAAGAAAAAGUGCAUACAAAACUUUUGUGUAGGAGAUCCAAGGCAGCUCUUUGUGAAGACAAGCUCUUACUUCGGAUUGAGAGAGUGUUAUGCUCAGUCAAGUUGGGAAAAACAAAACCAUGGCCCCUAGGGUCAAAACUUUUGCUUGGGGGCUUAUUAGGAGAGUUGUUGCAACACAAUUAAGAGCUUCUAGGUAUUCCAGUCAUACCAACAAAGAAUGUUGUGGAUCUUGUUAAAUAGAAUUUGAUCUGAACCUUUUCUUUCAAUGCAAUUUCUCUAGCUCAAUCUGGUUUAAAUUUGACCUCAAAACUGACAUGUUGAACUCCAAUUCAUAUUUUGUUGAUAUCAUUCAAAUGAUCAUGUUUUCUUAACAAUCCGAGUUAAAACUAGAUAUUGUUUUCACUGUUCUUUGGAACAUAUUGAGAGCCAAAAAUUAUCACCACUUCAAUAAAAGAAAAUGAAGUCAUAUGCAAGUUCUUCAUGAUGCAAAGACAAUACUUACUGCGGGUUUAAUAGAGGAGAAGAGGGAAAGGAAUAUAUCUCAUGAAGAUAACAAUUAUUAUUCUCUCCUAAAUACAGAUGUGCAUAUACAAUCUAAUCUACGGGUACUCUAGCAUAUGUGGACGCAACCUUUCGAUGGCUGAGAAUGAAGCCUCCUUCAAAGUAUAUCUCAACAAUACACUCACCAAGCACACAGCAUUCGUUCAUGCGUCGGCAACAAAUGUGCAAUUUGUUUUGCAGGCUGAAGCGAUGGCCUUAAUUGCUACCUUGGCAACCAAGGCAUUGGGCUGCAGAUUUGCUUCCUCUAUUCUGAUUGCAGGACUUUGGUUGAUGCUGUGGAAUCAAGGAAUCUUCUUGCUAAGUUAUGACAUUAUUUCUUGUCUCAGGUCCGUCAAAGUGCUCCACGGUCCUAGGUCCGAGAAUCACUUUGCUCAUGCUCUAGCUAAUAGAGCCUUCUCAAACAAAUUACUUUGCUCAUGACUUCAAAAACGACAUUUGAAGCCAUCUCCUUUCCCUUGGAGAAACUACUUACGGUACAUAGGUUGUUAAUGAAUAAAAGCUAGCCCUCAAGAGCGCUACCGUUUGCCAAAACAACUUUUAUACAAAUGCUAAAUAGUUCAAUGUAAAAGUUAGUAAGGAUUUUUGUGAGUAAAUUUGUUCAAUUGUGAUGCUUAAACAAUUAUUUCAAAAUGAUAUAUAGGAAAGAACAACCAAUCUAUUUUGAAGAUUUUCAUGUUAGAACGCAAAUCUAGUGUAAAUGCAUAUUGUGAUUUUCCUGAUAAAAAUGAAGAUACUGCAUACACACACCUACCAGCUAUAAAUGCAUAUUGAUCUCAAAAAACAAAAGGCUAUAAAUGCAUAAUGUUGGAAAUCAACCAUGUUAUGCCGGGGUAACCACUAAGAGCAAGUAUAAUAAGGUGAUAUAAGCGGACUAUAAAAAUUUAAAUAUUAUGUUUUUGCUAAGUUGAAAAAAAGAAAAGAGAAGCAGACGGCCAACUUUAGCACGGGCUCCCAUAAGGUUUGUAAGAAUGAAAGAUGGGUCAUAUGUUAAUAAAUUAGUAUUUCUUGUAGCCAACUACUAUACAUGCUAGCUAUUACAUUAGCUAGCAAACUGAGUAUAGCUCAGAUGGUUACGUUCUUUGUGGUGCAAUCUCAAAAUGAUAUGUCGACUCAGUCUUUUGAAGAUACUCAUAAAGAUAAGGUGUGCGUACAUGCGUUUAUAAGGAUAAGUGUACAUUCGUCUGCGUCUCUAUUCUGUUAAAAAAGGCUAUUACAUUAGCUAUAAAUUACAUGCCAAGCUAUAUUAUUAACUAUGCUCAAAAUAUUAUCAACUAUGAUCAAACCGCAGGUUGCAACGCUACAUGUUAGCUUGACUAGUAUGUGUCUUAUUGGAAUAUAAUAUAAAUAAAUUAACUUGCCCAAAGUUUGGAUUUUCAUUUCAUGUUUCUCUUUAUGAAUAACAUUGACAACCAUAAUUAAUCGUGGCUUCUUUUGGAUCGAUGGUUGAUGCUUCGAAGCACUAGCUAUGAGGAAGUGCUACCAAAAAGGUACUUGAAGUCCAGGUAUAACAUGUCAAUGAAAAUCGAAACUGCAGUUAAAGCCAUGGCCAAAGCCUCAUAACCUGGUGAACAAGACACUGGAACAUCCCAUAUAAUUAUAAUGUGUGGCUACUACAUACAACAGCAGCCGCAGGCACAUAUUCAGCAACGCUUGAUGUUCACGUUGCCAGCCUAAGAAACAAAACUCUCAACGCCGGAAGGUAACCAAGCAACCCAACUCAACGGUUGACUGUCAUAUUUUCGGUGCAGUUUUAUUACAAAAAGCAACAAUAACAUCCAUUCGGUGUGGCUUACAGCACCGGCCGUCACUUGAAAAGAAAAAUCACAGAUCGGUCACCCCGAGGGUUAUCAUCAAUCAGGGAC
rnacentral:lncRNA from 1 species